AACGAACGCUGGCGGCAGGCCUAACACAUGCAAGUCGAACGGAUCCUUCGGGAUUAGUGGCGCACGGGUGAGUAACGCGUGGGAACGUGCCCUUAGGUACGGAACAACAGUUGGAAACGACUGCUAAUACCGUAUAAUAUCGAGAGAUCAAAGAUUUAUUGCCUAAGGAUCGGCCCGCGUUAGAUUAGAUAGGUGGUGGGGUAAAGGCCUACCAAGUCUACGAUCUAUAGCUGGUCUUAGAGGAUGACCAGCCACACUGGAACUGAGCACCGGUCCAGACUGCUACGGGAGGCAGCAGGGAGGAAUAUGGGACAAUGGGCGAAGGCCUGAUCCAGCCAUGCCGCGUGAAUGAUGAAGGCCUUAGGGUUGUAAAGUUCUUUUAGCUGUGAAGAUGAUGACUGUAGCAGCAGAAAAAGCCCCGGCUAACUCCGUGCCAGCCGCCGCCGUAA
rnacentral:rRNA from 1 species